rnacentral:rRNA from 1 species
CAGCACGGGCUUCGGCCUGGUGGCGAGUGGCGAACGGGUGAGUAAUACAUCGGAACGUGCCCUGACGUGGGGGAUAACUAGUCGAAAGAUUAGCUAAUACCGCACACGACCUGAGGGUGAAAGCGGGGGACCGUAAGGCCUCGCGCGACAGGAGCGGCCGAUGUCUGAUUAGCUAGUUGGUGGGGUAAGAGCCUACCAAGGCGACGAUCAGUAGCUGGUCUGAGAGGACGAUCAGCCACACUGGGACUGAGACACGGCCCAGACUCCUACGGGAGGCAGCAGUGGGGAAUUUUGGACAAUGGGGGCAACCCUGAUCCAGCAAUGCCGCGUGUGUGAAGAAGGCCUUCGGGUUGUAAAGCACUUUUGUCCGGAAAGAAAACCUUCACCCUAAUACGGUGGGGGGAUGACGGUACCGGAAGAAUAAGCACCGGCUAACUACGUGCCAGCAGCCGCGCGUAUUACCGAGGCUGCUGGAGAGCUGAGCCAGGAUCAAACUC